rnacentral:rRNA from 1 species
UUGAACGCUGGCGGCAUGCCUUACACAUGCAAGUCGAACGGUAACAGGGAGCUUGCUCCGCUGACGAGUGGCGAACGGGUGAGUAAUGUAUCGGAACGUACCAUUCAGUGGGGGAUAACGUAGCGAAAGUUACGCUAAUACCGCAUAUUCUGUGAGCAGGAAAGCAGGGGAUCGCAAGACCUUGCGCUGAUUGAGCGGCCGAUAUCAGAUUAGCUAGUUGGUGAGGUAAAAGCUCACCAAGGCGACGAUCUGUAGCGGGUCUGAGAGGAUGAUCCGCCACACUGGAACUGAGACACGGUCCAGACUCCUACGGGAGGCAGCAGUGGGGAAUUUUGGACAAUGGGGGCAACCCUGAUCCAGCCAUGCCGCGUGAGUGAAGAAGGCCUUCGGGUUGUAAAGCUCUUUCAGCAGGAACGAAACGGUCGGCUUUAAUAAAGUCGGCUAAUGACGGUACCUGCAGAAGAAGCACCGGCUAACUACGU